rnacentral:rRNA from 1 species
UACAGAGGGUGCGAGCGUUAAUCGGAAUUACUGGGCGUAAAGCGUGCGUAGACGGUUAUUUAAGUCGGGUGUGAAAGCCCCGGGCUCAACCUGGGAAUUGCAUUCGAGACUGAAUAGCUAGGGUACGGUAGAGGGAAGUGGAAUUUCCGGUGUAGCGGUGAAAUGCGUAGAUAUCGGAAGGAACAUCAGUGACGAAAGCGACUUCCUGGACCAGUACCGACGUUCAGGCACGAAAGCGUGGGGAGCAAACAGG